rnacentral:rRNA from 1 species
UACUAGAGUAGCACUCGCAUAUCAAUAAGCGGAGGAAAAGAAACUAACAAGGAUUCCCCUAGUAACGGCGAGUGAAGCGGGAAGAGCUCAAAUUUGAAAUCUUAAAGGGUUUCCCUUUACGAAUUGUAGUUUAAAGAAGUGUUUUCUGUUGAGGUUUUGGUAAAAGUUCUUUGGAAUAGGACAUCAUAGAGGGUGAGAAUCCCGUAUUUGACCUUUACUUUCAACUUUGUGAUACACUUUCAAAGAGUCGGAUUGUUUGGGAAUGCAGUCCAAAAUGGGUGGUAAAUUUCAUCUAAAGCUAAGUAUUGGCGAGAGACCGAUAGCGAACAAGUACCGUGAGGGAAAGAUGAAAAGAACUUUGAAAAGAGAGUUAAACAGUACGUGAAAUUGUCAAAAGGGAAGCGUUUGACACCAGUGUUGUUUUUCUGAAAAUCAAUUAAAGAACUGUUUAUGCUAAGCUGUUUAGACUUUAUCAGCUAUCUGUUUAGUUUUGAGCUUUUCUUUAAUGCACUUUUCAGUUAACAAGUCAACAUCAAUUUCUUUUGCUGUAAAAAAGCUUGAGGAAGGUGGCUUGAGAUUCGUCUUAAGUGUUUAUAGCCUCUUGCCUAUGCAGUCGGAGAGAUUGAGGUCUGCAGCGUAGAUCCUUCGGGGCUAAAUGCAUUUGUGCUAAGUUAUAGCAUUUUAUAGACAACUUGUUGACUAUGAUUUGUCUUGUAGCUUACUCGCUUAUGUUAUUUUACCUACGCUUAGGAUGUUGAACUACUGAGACAUAGA